GGCUAGGUAGCUCAAUAGGUAGAGCACCAGGUAUAUAUUCAGGAGGGCUGGGUUCAAACCUUAGUCUGGUCA